GACGAACGCUGGCGGCGUGCUUAACACAUGCAAGUCGAACGGAAAGGCCUCUUUCGGGGGGUACUCGAGUGGCGAACGGGUGAGUAACACGUGAGUAACCUGCCCUUGACUUUGGGAUAACUUCAGGAACCUGGGGCUAAUACCGGAUAGGAGCUCCUGCUGCAUGGUGGGGGUUGGAAAGUUUCGGCGGUUGGGGAUGGACUCGCGGCUUAUCAGCUUGUUGGUGGGGUAGUGGCUUACCAAGGCUUUGACGGGUAGCCGGCCUGAGAGGGUGACCGGCCACAUUGGGACUGAGAUACGGCCCAGACUCCUACGGGAGGCAGCAGUGGGGAAUAUUGCACAAUGGGUGGAAGCCUGAUGCAGCAACGCCGUGUGCGGGAUGACGGCCUUCGGGUUGUAAACCGCUUUCGCUCAUGACGAAGCUUUGUGUGACGGUAGUGGGGAAGAAGCACCGGCUAACUACGUG
rnacentral:rRNA from 1 species